UACGUAGGGGGCAAGCGUUGUCCGGAAUCAUUGGGCGUAAAGAGCGUGUAGGCGGCCAGAUAAGUCCGCUGUGAAAUCUCGAGGCUCAACUUCGAGCUGUCGGUGGAAACUGUCUGGCUAGAGUCCGGAAGAGGAGAAUGGAAUUCCUGGUGUAGCGGUGAAAUGCGCAGAUAUCAGGAGGAACACCAAUUGCGAAGGCAGCUCGCUGGAACGUAACUGACGCUGAGACGCAAAAGCGUGGGGAGCAAACAGG
rnacentral:rRNA from 1 species